rnacentral:lncRNA from 1 species
GGCAAGUGUCGUGGACUUCGUACUGCUAGGAAGCUCCGUAGUCACCGACGAGACCAGAAGUGGCAUGAUAAACAGUAUAAGAAAGCUCAUUUGGGCACAGCCCUAAAGGCCAACCCUUUUGGAGGUGCUUCUCAUGCAAAAGGAAUCGUGCUGGAAAAAGUAGGAGUUGAAGCCAAACAGCCAAAUUCUGCCAUUAGGAAGUGUGUAAGGGUCCAGCUGAUCAAGAAUGGCAAGAAAAUCACAGCCUUUGUACCCAAUGACGGUUGCUUGAACUUUAUUGAGGUGAGAAAAUGAUGAAGUUCUGGUUGCUGGAUUUGGUCGCAAAGGUCAUGCUGUUGGUGAUAUUCCUGGAGUCCGCUUUAAGGUUGUCAAAGUAGCCAAUGUUUCUCUUUUGGCCCUAUACAAAGGCAAGAAGGAAAGACCAAGAUCAUAAAUAUUAAUGGUGAAAACACUGUAGUAAUAAAUUU